GACCGCGUAGCUCAGUUGGCAGAGCAUUGGAAUUUGGGCUAGUAUUCCAAAGGUCGUAGGUUCGAUUCCCACCGUGGUCA